AUUGAACGCUGGCGGCAGGCCUAACACAUGCAAGUCGAGCGAGCGGCGGACGGGUGAGUAAUGUCUGGGAAACUGCCUGAUGGUUGUGGAUAACUACUGGAAACGGUAGCCAAUAACGCAUACCAUCAGAUGUGCCCAGAUGGGAUGAGCUAGUUGGUGGGGUGACGGCUCACCUAGGCGACGAUCCCUAGCUGGUCUGCGAGGAUGACCAGCCACACUGGAACUGAGACACGGUCCAGACUCCUACGGGAGGCAGCAGUGGGGAAGAUGGCACAAUGGGAGCAAGCCUGAUGCAGCCAUGCCGCGUGUGUGAAGAAGGCCUUCGGGUUGUAAAGCACUUUCAGCGGGGAGGCGUUACCCGCAGAAGAAGCACCGGCUAACUCCGUGCCAGCAGCCGCGGUAAUUC
rnacentral:rRNA from 1 species